GACAACGGAAUUCCCCUGCAAUGGACAAAUUUCGCGGCACCUCUGGGACAAAACUACGUAGCGCAGAGCAUGGUCAACACAAAAUGGAGCACGUACACGGGCACUGACAAGAAUUUCUUUGCGUGCA
ensembl:snoRNA Y54G2A.74 ncRNA